GGCUGGGGUGGAGGCAGCGGAGGCGGAACAGUUGGUUUUUGAUGCACGGUCCGGCGGUGGUCCGGGAACUGCCGCUGUGGCAGCCCCGGGAGGAGGUGCCUGGGAGCCUGAGCGAUAGAGACGGGGAGAGGGAGAGGAAGACAAGCGGAGAGGAGGCGGAGGCAGGGGCAGGGCGGCCGGAGGGAGCAAGCAGGCGCGCGGAGGCCGCCCCUGGGCUGGGCGCGGGCUGGGCGGGGGCGGGGGCUGGCCGCGCGUCGGGCGCCAGGCCCGGGGCUGUGGGCACAGUGCCCAGCCCCCGGCGCACGCCGAGCUGCCGCCGCCGCCGCCGCCGCCGCUGCUGCAGUCGGCAUCCAUCAGCGGGCGGGGGUGUCGUGGAACAGGCUGCUCCGCAGAGCCCGGGGCUGCCCGGCGCGCCCGCCCCGCCCCGCGGCCUGCCACCCGCAGGAGCUGAGGGGCCGCCCCCAGCCCAGCCUGCCCGAGAUGGGGACCCCCAGGCCCAGGCGUGCUGGGCGCCAUGACAACAGAGACAGGCCCUGAUUCUGAGGUGAAGAAGGCUCAGGAGGAGGCCCCACAGCAGCCUGAGGCCACUGCUGCCGCUGCUGCUGCUUCUGCUGCUGCUGCUGCUGUGACCACCCCUGUGACCCCCGCAGGCCACGGCCACCCGGAGGCCAACUCCAAUGAGAAGCACCCGCCCCAUCAGGACACUCGGCCUGCAGAACAGAGCCUAGACAUGGAGGAGAAGGACUAUGCGGAGGCCGAUGGCCUGUCAGAGAGGACCACACCCAGCAAGGCCCAGAAAUCGCCCCAGAAGAUCGCCAAGAAAUACAAGAGUGCCAUCUGCCGAGUCACUCUGCUCGAUGCCUCUGAGUAUGAGUGUGAAGUGGAGAAACAUGGCCGGGGCCAGGUGCUGUUUGACCUGGUCUGUGAGCACCUCAACCUCCUGGAGAAGGACUACUUUGGCCUGACCUUCUGUGAUGCUGACAGCCAGAAGAACUGGCUGGACCCCUCCAAGGAAAUCAAGAAGCAGAUCCGGAGCAGCCCCUGGAAUUUUGCCUUCACAGUCAAGUUCUACCCCCCUGACCCUGCUCAGCUGACAGAAGACAUAACGAGAUACUACCUGUGCCUGCAGCUGCGGGCGGACAUCAUCACGGGCCGCCUUCCCUGCUCCUUCGUCACGCAUGCCCUGCUGGGCUCCUACGCUGUGCAGGCUGAGCUGGGCGACUAUGACGCUGAGGAGCAUGUGGGCAACUAUGUCAGUGAGCUCCGCUUCGCCCCUAACCAGACCCGUGAGCUGGAGGAGAGGAUCAUGGAGCUGCAUAAGACAUACAGGGGCAUGACCCCAGGAGAAGCAGAAAUCCACUUCCUAGAGAACGCCAAGAAGCUUUCCAUGUAUGGAGUAGAUCUGCACCAUGCCAAGGACUCUGAGGGCAUUGACAUCAUGUUAGGAGUCUGUGCCAAUGGCCUGCUCAUCUACCGGGACCGGCUGAGAAUCAACCGCUUCGCCUGGCCCAAGAUUCUCAAGAUCUCCUACAAGAGGAGUAACUUUUACAUUAAGAUCCGUCCCGGGGAGUAUGAACAGUUUGAGAGCACAAUUGGCUUUAAGCUCCCAAACCACCGGUCGGCCAAGAGACUGUGGAAGGUCUGCAUCGAGCACCACACGUUCUUCCGGCUGGUGUCCCCCGAGCCCCCACCUAAGGGCUUCCUGGUGAUGGGCUCCAAGUUCCGGUAUAGUGGGCGGACCCAGGCACAGACCCGCCAGGCCAGCGCCCUCAUCGACCGGCCUGCACCCUUCUUUGAGCGUUCCUCCAGCAAACGGUACACCAUGUCCCGCAGCCUUGAUGGAGCAGAGUUCUCCCGCCCAGCCUCGGUCAGUGAGAAUCACGACGCAGGACCUGAUGGUGACAAGCGAGAGGAUGAUGGCGAGUCUGGGGGGCGGCGGUCAGAGGCCGAGGAGGGAGAGGUCAGGACCCCCACCAAGAUCAAGGAGCUAAAGCCGGAGCAAGAAACCACGCCGAGACACAAGCAGGAGUUCUUAGACAAGCCCGAGGAUGUCUUGCUGAAGCACCAGGCCAGCAUCAAUGAGCUCAAGAGGACCCUGAAGGAACCCAACAGCAAACUGAUCCACCGGGAUCGAGACUGGGAGCGGGAGCGCAGGCUGCCGUCCUCGCCCGCCUCCCCCUCCCCCAAGGGCACCCCUGAGAAAGCCAACGAGUCCCAGAGGACCCAGGACACCUCUCAGCAGAACUUGGCACCUGAGCCUGGGAUGGCCGCAGGCUUGGAAGUGUUCACUCAGAAAAGCCUCGCAGCAUCUCCUGAGGGUUCAGAGCAUUGGGUACUUAUUGAAAGAAAGUACACUAGGCCAGAAGAGCUCCGACUUGUAACCAUGGCCCCCGCGCAGCAGGAAGAAAGUGAGGCAGGCCUCGCAGAUAUCCUUGCUGAUGGCAGACUCUCCAAGGUAGAUGUACUAGUGGACAAGUUCAAAGUUGAAGUGGCCACAGAAGAAAUAGUGGGAGCCCGAAGAGCAAAUACCCAGCAAAAAGGAAGAAUGAUCGCAAGCCCCGAAGACUUUGAGUCGGUGUGGGAGGAAGGCCCCUGGGUCAGGGAGAGCCCAGGAGGGGCUUCUCUGGCUGCAGGAUGCACGCUGGCAGAAAAGCUUGACAGCACUCAGUUCAGGGUGGGCACUGGGGAGGCAACUGUCAGAGAUCCCCAGGUCUCAGGUGGUCAGCUGGAGGGCCAGACGGAGCUGAGGAAGGAGCUGGAGGAGUUCCAGACUUGCAGAAGACCCACUGUCCCGGGGACCAGGCCAGCAGAGGCGGAUGUCCCCUCUCCAGCCUCUGACAAGGGAGGACUCCAGUCGUUUCUGCUGGAUCCAGCCCACGUGGAAGCCAGAGCCGACUCGAGUGAUGAAACCGAUACUUCCUUUGCAGAGAGAAGUUUCUAUUUAAACUAUGGAGAGAAAGAUUUUGAAGACCAUAUCCUCCCUCCGCCACUGGAGGAGAGAGACGAACGCCUGGAAGGCCCUCCUGGAGACAAGACCAGGCCGGAGCUCUCAGAGGAGUUUGCAGAGAGCUCUGAGCUGAAUUCCUCAGACCCGUGGGACUCUCCUGCACCCUCUGGCAGCAACAAGGACGAAGACCGUGAAGCCCACAAAGCUUCCUUGGAGGAAGGGGCAGGACCCCCCUGGAACCACAGAAGACCGGAUGACCUGGAGGUCUUUGUUGAGCAGCUUGGUAAGGGAUGUCCUCCAGGGCAGACAUUUGCUCAGGUCUGGGAAGAAGCUGGGUGGGGGGUGGAAGAAGAGUUUACCCACCCAGCACCCACCAUCGCCGCAGAGGACGAGACCUCCAGGAGUGGAGAUUUGAUGGGAAAGGCUGAGAAAGGUCCCCCAGCAGGAUGGAAGAAUCACUCACCUCACAGAGGACGGGGUGUGAGCCCAGACCUCCCUGUUUGUGCCGUUCCAUGGAAGCCAGCCAGACCUGAUAGAGGUAACUUCCUGUCCAAAGACAGGGCACUGGUUCACAGCCACAUAGGAGAACCUGUGACAGAGGACAGCAAGGUUCAGAUGGCAUUUCUUCAGAUGGAGGUGAUCAACCCACCCCCAACCUCCCCUGGCCCCUUUCAUGCUCAGGCACCUCCAGAGGAAGCUUCUCCAAGCGCAGCCCCUUGUGGGUCAGGGGAGCCUUUGCAGCUUGGGGAUACCUUUGGAGAAGAAUCCCCUGUGUUUCUCAAACAUGUCCAUCCUCCUAAAGAACGCCCAGACCCCAAGGAACGAGUCGAGCCGGUUGCAACUCUGGACGGAGGUGAGCGCAGGGCGCCUCCCGUCACCAGCAGAAAGCCCAGAGUUGUCCUUGAAGAAAUCGAGGGGGCUGUACCCCUGGGAUUGGGGUUCCCUUCAGGGAAGCAAAAGGAGAUGACCCUUUUCCAGGUUGGGUGCCAAGAGGGCUCCCUGGAAGAUAUUAGCAAGACAUCCGUGGCCAACAAAAUUCGGAUCUUUGAGACUCAAGGAGCUGAAACUCGCCGAGUGAGUCAGGGUGAAGCAAGGGUCUCUCCCAAUGAGGUGUCUUCAGAGGCUGCCCUGGGGCAGGUAGAGCAACAGCGGAAUAAGCUUUUAGACUUGGGCUUCGUCCAACUCCAGCCCCUCAGCGACCUUGCCAGCCCUAAGGCCACAGAGCUCUCAACGAUGCCGCCUGCUACCAGACACUUCAGGGAGGCCAUUUCUACCACAUCCCACCAUGAAGGAUGCAUGGAACUCGAACUCGUGUCCCCAGAUUCAGGCUGUGAAACGACGCUGGAGGAAGCUAUUGGGGGAACUGGCCACAACAAAUCCGGAGAAGCGAUCAGGGAAGAGAAGCACAUCAGCAGUAUAGCAGUGAACCCCCUUGGGAAAGGGGGGCGCCUGAGAUUCGCCAGCCCCUCAGGCUCUCAGAGAGCAGGGCUGAGGGAGGGCUUGGAAGAGAAAGUCAAACCCCCACGUCCCAGGGCCCCAGAGAGUGACACAGGAGACGAGGACCAGGACCAGGAGAGGGACGCGGUGUUCCUGAAGGACAACCACCUGGCCAUUGAGCGUAAGUGCUCCAGCAUCACGGUCAGCUCCACGUCUAGCCUGGAGGCUGAGGUCGACUUCACUGUCAUCGGUGACUACCACGGCAGCGCCUUCGAAGACUUCUCCCGCAGCCUGCCCGAGCUUGACCGAGACAAAAGCGACUCCGAAACCGAGGGCCUGGUGUUCUCCCGGGAUCUCAGCAAGAGGGGCCCCAGCCAGGAUGACGAGUCCGGGGGCAUCGAGGACAGCCCAGAUCGAGGGGCCUGCUCCACCCCGGAUAUGCCCCAGUUUGAGCCCGUGAAAACGGAAACCAUGACUGUCAGCAGCCUGGCCAUCAGGAAGAAGAUCGAGCCAGAGGCGGUACUACAGACCAGAGUCACCACUGUGGACACCCAGCAGGUUGAUGGAACUGCCCCAAUGGGGAAAGAGUUCAUAACAACUGCUCCCUCCAUCACCACGGAGACCAUAUCCACCACCAUGGAGAACAGUCUCAAGUCCGGGAAGGGGGCAGCUGCCAUGAUCCCAGGCCCACAGACGGUGGCCACGGAAAUCCGUUCUCUUUCUCCGAUCAUCGGGAAAGAUGUCCUCACCAGCACCUACGGCGCCACUGCGGAAACCCUCUCCACCUCCACCACCACCCAUGUUACCAAAACUGUGAAAGGAGGGUUUUCUGAAACGAGGAUCGAGAAGCGAAUCAUUAUUACUGGGGAUGAAGAUGUUGAUCAAGACCAGGCCCUGGCUUUAGCCAUCAAGGAGGCCAAACUGCAGCAUCCUGACAUGCUGGUAACCAAAGCUGUCGUAUACAGAGAAACAGACCCAUCCCCAGAGGACAGGGACAAGAAGCCGCAGGACUCCUGACCUCUGUGAAGAGAUGCUGGCGUUUCUGGUCCAACCCAAGCCAGAGACCCAUUAAGAAGGGGCCUUCGUUCUGGAUUCUCCGACUCAACACCGACAUCCCAGCUUCGACGUACUGUCACUGAUGAGAGACUGGGAAAGAAGAAGCAUAUAUAUAUAUAGAUAUAUAGAGAUAUAGAUAUAUAUACAGGAAACACUGCGUCCUUGCACUGCUGCCCGGGCUGGCCGAGCAGUCGACCAAACAGCAACAGCCAACAUUUGAACACCUACAUUUCCUUUGCAGACAAAUUGAAGAAUUGGUGGGAUUUUUCAGGAAAAAAAAAAAUUAUAAGGACAGUAAUCCCUUGCUCCUUCCCUCUUCGAAGCCCUACGGAACGGCGAAAGCAAGCCAGACCACGAUGAUUGUAGAAGUACAGUAUGACCCUGGUUCUGCACGUUACAUCUGGUGGGCACACAUUCCAUUUGUUCUUCUCCAGCAUCUGUUGCCCACUCAAGUGCAAAGGAAAAAAAAAAACAACCCUUUUGCAGCAAAGUAAGAUAAGUUGCAGCAGCAAGACACGCACCGUCAACCGUUUUCCGAGACAGAAAGAGAAUUCCCUACUUGGAAAGGAGGAGGAGGAACACUGGAUUAUUAUUUUUUGGGUCUUGACACUGGGCUGCAAAAUCCACCUUUUUUCUUUUCCACCCCCCCUCACCCCCCCUCAGUCAGAAGUCUUGUCAUUUUCUGUCUUAGCUCUCUCCUCCCUCCCGCCCAACCCUGCACCCUCCACCCUCUGUGUCCUGGUCCUGCCGAGGGCCACGGCAGAUGACUCUCAUUUGAAACGCGAAAAAGACAAGAAAGCAAGAACAGAAAACCAAGCCACAGGAAGGGAAGUUCUGGGUUCUCGCUAUGAAAGUGCAGCUUGUAGGAGAUGUGUAUGGAUGUGCUUUUAAGUUAUGUAUAUUGCAUAUAACGGGAAACAUAUUAAAAUAAACAGUGCUGUUCUCAUCCUUUCUGUGCUGCCUUUCCACCCAGGAGCCCAUGUAGCAUAGUGGAAAAAGUCCCAGAGGGCAGUCAGGAGUUCUGGGCGGCCAUCCUGGCUUAGCCCCUAACUCACCCUGUGACAUCGAGCUAGGCCUGUGCCCCAUCUGGGGCCUCUGUUUCCCCACUUGUGAAAUGAGGAAGAUAAACCAGACACUCUCCAGGGUCUUUUUCCCCUCUGCCAUCCUACGGAUUUUCGUUUUAUUUUGCUUUCUCGGAAUCUUUUCAGUCUGAGGGUACAGGAAGUGCCAGGACCUGUUUCAGUUUUCGAAUCCUGCAAGCACAUUCCAAGACUGGCCUGAAAUUGCAUGAGCAACAUCACUCUAAUUUUUUUUUUUUCCAAAAGCACCUUACCGACCAACUGCGAUGCUGUCCUGUUCCUUUUUACUCACACCCUCUCUCUCCUCUCUGGUCCCCGCGCUCCCCACCUCAGUGCUCCGUGCUGUAUGCGUGUGCUCUCUGUUCUUGUAUACUCAAUAAAAGUGAAAUAAAUGUGUUUGAUGCUGAACCACAA